UACGGAGGGGGCUAGCGUUGUUCGGAAUCAUUGGGCGUAAAGCGCGCGUAGGCGGCCCUGUAAGUCCGUUGUGAAAGUCAAAGGCUCAACCUUUGAAAGCCGAUGGAUACUGCGGGGCUAGAGUCCGGAAGAGGCGAGUGGAAUUCCUGGCGUAGCGGUGGAAUGCGCAGAUAUCAGGAGGAACACCAAUAGCGAAGGCAGCUCGCUGGGACGGUACUGACGCUAAGGCGCGAAAGCGUGGGGAGCGAACGGG
rnacentral:rRNA from 1 species